ACUCAAAUGAAUUGACGGGGGCCCGCACAAGCGGUGGAGCAUGUUGUUUAAUACGUCACUAACCGUAGAACCUUACCAGGGUUUGACAUCCUGUGCCAUGCUAUGAAAGUAGCCUUUCCCGCAAGGGAACACAGAGACAGGUGUUGCAUGGCUGUCGUCAGCUCGUGUCGUGAGAUGUUGGGUUAAGUCCCGCAACGAGCGCAACCCUCAUCCCAUGUUGCCAGCGAGUAAAGUCGGGAACUCUUGGGAAACUGCCGGGGUAACUCGGAGGAAGGUGAGGACGACGUCAAGUCAGCAUGGCCCUUACAUCCUGGGCUACAAACAUGCUACAAUGGACGGUACACAGACCGACCCGAAGCCGCGAGGUAGAGGCAAUCGGAGAAAUCCGUUCUCAGUUCGGAUCGCAGGCUGCAACUCGCCUGCGUGAAGCUGGAAUCGCUAGUAACCGCAGGUCAGCUAAACUGCGGUGAAUACGUUCCCGGGCCUUGCACACACCGCCCGU
rnacentral:rRNA from 1 species